GUGUGCCGCUCAAACUCCGAGCGGGACCGAAGAUGUCAAGCUUAUUUACAGCUACUAGCAAUGUCACUGGGUCUGUCGACUAAGGCGCUACUACAAAAGCUGGUGGUGGAAGGAGGCAUUGAAAUUCCGGAGGAGGCGGCUCAGAAAUGUAGAGACGAUGACGUAGAUGGCGAGAGAGUGGAUUGCAUACCCACAGAGAGUAUGAUCGGGUAUCUCUGACAAGUCUGACCAAAAGCUGUUAAAGUUCAGACUUCACACUCUGCUACAAGGAGGUCACCCUUAAUUUGGAAGCAGUCAAGCCAGAACAACAAACAUGUGUCCCAUACAAACCAGAGGUGGGAACCUACUUGACACAGACUGCCUUGCAGAACCGGUCCAAAAGGAACAACAGUACCGCAACAACAUAAUGAGGAGUCUAUAUGAAAUGCAGUGUACAAUUUGUGCGAUGAGGUCGAUGCUAUGCAACCCUUUGCAGUCAACAAUUGCCACCGCUUCAGUGAAAACUUCACAUUUGGAUUUGUCACUGAAAAAAACCCACAUGGAUGAAAGAGAAUCCCGUGGCUGAGGAUAUUAUUACAGGUACUGAUUUUAACACAUACAUUACAAAUGAGGAUGGGGAUCGUUAAUUUUUAUUGAUAUAGAUGACAUUAUUGAGACUGCUUAACAAUCUCAGUCUCUCGAUACACUAUCGAUAGUUCCUAUUAUUUAUUGACUGUUUUUUGGUCAGACCAGACCCAACGGGCAGAGGUAGGUAUGACUUGCGAUAAAUAAAACAAAUAUUGAAGUGUGCAUUUAAACUGCCUGGUUGUUCUUAAAUUAAUUAUAGGAUUAGAAUUUAAUAUUUUAAAUACAACUGUUUCUAGAGCAGCAACAUUAAUGUUUACAACAUCAAGUCACUACAUAAACAAUAUGUGACACCCCAAUACUGAGUGACAUUUAGAAAGAAUGAAAUG